rnacentral:rRNA from 1 species
CCUACGGGGCGCAGCAGUGGGGAAUAUUGGACAAUGGGGGCAACCCUGAUCCAGCCAUGCCGCGUGUGUGAAGAAGGCCCUCGGGUUGUAAAGCACUUUCAGUGAGGAAGAACGCCUGGUGGUUAAUACCCAUCAGGAAAGACAUCACUCACAGAAGAAGCACCGGCUAACUCCGUGCCAGCAGCCGCGGUAAUACGGAGGGUGCGAGCGUUAAUCGGAAUUACUGGGCGUAAAGCGCGCGUAGGUGGCUUGAUAAGCCGGUUGUGAAAGCCCCGGGCUCAACCUGGGAACGGCAUCCGGAACUGUCAAGCUAGAGUGCAGGAGAGGAAGGUAGAAUUCCCGGUGUAGCGGUGAAAUGCGUAGAGAUCGGGAGGAAUACCAGUGGCGAAGGCGGCCUUCUGGACUGACACUGACACUGAGGUGCGAAAGCGUGGGUAGCAAACAGGAUUAGAUACCCUUGUAGUC